GCACAAAUUUUGCAGAGAAGGGAUAAAGUGUUGUGGGCAAGGACCUGUGGGCUGAAAGUCAGAGUGACCAUGAUGCAGUGCCAUCACCCCACCUCACAGCUCAGAGUCUUGCAUAUCGCAUGGGCUGCCUGGAGCCUACACAGUUCACAGAGUGGAAAAAGGAAUUGAAGAAGCAAAAAUAAAUACUAAAGCAUGUAAGAAUUAAAUAUCACCUAUUUAAAUAGCAAUUACGCCGCUAAAAACAAGAUCACCACACCUGUACAAGAAAAGACAAGCAAGCCCAAAACAUCUGUUUGCAUCCACCUGCCAAGCACCUGUUCCGCUGUUUCAAUGCCAUUUGAUUGCUGGAGAUGUAGAGGCUCUUGUGAGGCUGGUCGUCACACAGGAAACUGUAUGCAGAGUCCAUCAGCCCAUGCUCUUCAUCACGAACUCAGUUGCUCUUUAAGACCAUCUCCCAGAGAUGAGGAAGAUGCGUUGAUCCAAACGAGACGCAGCCAAGCUUGGAGCAUCCUCUCUGCUCCAUCCCAAGGAGAACGGAAGAGCUGGCAAGCUGAGACACUACCAGUACUUUGUGGAAACCGACAUAUGAAUUUGUUCUACAAAUGUGCCAGGGACACACUGAUCCAACAGUUAGAUCACUUCCAGAAGACACGGAGUUAGAUCUCUGAGUUCACUUCCAAUUGCUGACUACUACUAUCCAAUAAAAGAAAAAUUCUGCGUAAAGUAAACAAGGAAAAUGGAGGAGAUUCUGCUGGAAGGACAGAAGGGACAGCAAGCAUGGAGAUUUAAGUCAGAGGAAGACCAACUGUCACUGCAGAGGGGAAAGGGCAUGAGAAUGAGCACUGCAAGAAAAAAAAAUCAUCAAAAAAUUCCUCCUUCUCUGGGAUGAAUACAGGGGAGUAAAUGUGUUCCUACAAAAAUUGAAUUAUGUAGUGAUUUUAAAUAUGGUGUGAGAAUGAAGGACAUAUGAGCUGCAACGAGAGAACCAAAGAGGAAUUAUGUGAUGUGUUCAGGCUGGGAGUGUGCCUCACAUGACAACAGGAAGAGAGGAAAGGUGGAGGAAAAAAAGAUCAGAAUCUACUCUAUUCUGAGCCAUUAAUGUCAGCCAUGUUGAUGUUUUGUAGCUAGUUAUAUUUGCUGAUGGUUCCCACGCACUCAUGACAUUCAACUUUGCAUCAUCCCCUAAAAACUGGAAAGAUGUCUCUCUGAGAAUGACCUAUAGCUUUGAUAUCACCAUAACUAAUUUCCUUUUCCUAAAGUAAUGGUGCCUACUCUUGAGGAGCAGAAUGCUGUGAGCUUUUAUUUCCAGUCUGAGGAUAGUUCUGUGAUAGGUGGAAUAAUGCCAGAACCUACUUUUCAUUAGAUUGUAUGAUCUGACUUUAUCUUGCACGCUCUGUGUGGUUUGAGUGAAUAAAUCACACCAGAAU
rnacentral:lncRNA from 7 species